UACGAAGGGGGCUAGCGUUGCUCGGAAUUACUGGGCGUAAAGGGCGCGUAGGCGGAUGACUAAGUCGGGGGUGAAAGCCCGGGGCUCAACCUCGGAACUGCCUCGAUACUGGUCAUCUUGAGUACGGGAGAGGUGAGUGGAAUGCCGAGUGUAGAGGUGAAAUUCGUAGAUAUUCGGCGGAACACCAGUGGCGAAGGCGACUCACUGGCCCGAUACUGACGCUGAUGCGCGAAAGCGUGGGGAGCAAACAGG
rnacentral:rRNA from 1 species